AGCCUUACGCAAUAUGCAAUGUCUUCAUUAUACAUUCUACAAUAAAAAUGAGGUAACUGUCAAUUGUUCCCCUUGUCUCAUGUCGACAAACGCCAUAACUAUCAUUGAUGAUGGUAAAAUAUCACAAUCAAUCACAACGUACACGCCAUUGAAAGUUGUAAUUUUACAGGGGUUGAGAUUGAAGAUCAUAUUCGUCCACGUGGCUAAUUAAGCUUUCCUAUCGACGGUGUUUGUGGUGAGUCCUCAUUUAUCGGGGACUAGUCAUCGAGUUGGCUAUUAUUUUCAAAGACUUUUGUUAUGGGUCAUAUAUAGGGUGAGAUAGGGACAUGUCUUAGCCUCCGCCAAUGUUCAUGAGUAGAGGCAUCUAGUUGGACAAAUGUUUCAAGUCUAUGUUGUCAUGUGACAUUCUUCAUAUGCUAUUCAUGGUUUAGACUUUCUUAUGAUA